rnacentral:sRNA from 1 species
GAAGCGCAGCCAAAAAUUCAGGAUCUAUGUCGUCUACUGGAGGUGGUUCAU